rnacentral:rRNA from 1 species
UACGUAGGGUGCAAGCGUUGUCCGGAAUUAUUGGGCGUAAAGAGCUCGUAGGCGGUUUUGUCGCGUCUGCUGUGAAAACCCGAGGCUCAACCUCGGGCCUGCAGUGGGUACGGGCAGACUAGAGUGCGGUAGGGGGAGAUUGGAAUUCCUGGUGUAGCGGUGGAAUGCGCAGAUAUCAGGAGGAACACCGAUGGCGAAGGCAGAUCUCUGG